rnacentral:rRNA from 1 species
AUUGAACGCUGGCGGCGUGCCUAACACAUGCAAGUCGAGCGGCAGCGCGGGAGCAAUCCUGGCGGCGAGCGGCGGACGGGUGAGUAACGCUUGGGAAUCUGCCUGUUAGUGGGGGACAACCCGGGGAAACUCGGGCUAAUACCGCAUACGCACUACGGUGGAAAGCCGGGGACCGCAAGGCCUGGCGCUAACAGAUGAGCCCAAGUCGGAUUAGCUAGUUGGUAGGGUAACGGCCUACCAAGGCGACGAUCCGUAACUGGUCUGAGAGGACGACCAGUCACACCGGAACUGAGACACGGUCCGGACUCCUACGGGAGGCAGCAGUGGGGAAUAUUGGACAAUGGGGAAACCCUGAUCCAGCGACGCCGCGUGGGUGAAGAAGCCUGCGGGUUGUAAAGCCCUUUCAGUGGGGAAGAAAAGCCUCGACCUAACACGUCGGGGUCUUGACGUAACCCCAUAGAAGAAGCACCGGCUAACUCUGUGACAGCAGCCGCGGU